rnacentral:rRNA from 1 species
GUGGGACUGGCGAUUGGGACGAAGUCGUAACAAGGUAGCCGUACCGGAAGGUGCGGCUGGAUCACCUCCUUUCUAAGGAG